UACGUAGGUGGCGAACGUUAUCCGGAAUGACUGGGUGUAAAGGGUCCGUAGGCGGAGGGGCAAGUCUGACGUGAAAGCGCCCGGCUCAACUGGGCGAGUGCGUUGGAAACUGCCCGUCUUGAAUCACGCAGAGGUCGGCGGAAUUCCCGGUGUAGUGGUGGAAUGCGUAGAGAUCGGGAGGAACCUCGAAAGCGAAGGCAGCCGACUGGGGGAUGAUUGACGCUGAGGGACGAAAGCGUGGGGAGCGAACAGG
rnacentral:rRNA from 1 species